CAGUAGGGACAGGAAGGGAGCAGUAAUUACCCUGUCACCGGAGAGCACCGGCCUUCUCAUUUCCCAGAAAUAACUUCCAGGGCAGGUCACAAGUUUGGCGUAGCCGGCCUCCACCCUCUGCCUCCCACCCACUAAGCAGACCCAGAGCACCCCCUAACUCGGGGCACCCUUAGUUCCAUCCCCAGAAGGGCUGUCAAACUGCCAGCAUCCUACCCGCUUCCCUCUGUGACCCGGUCAGACAAUGGAGAGAGGGAUGGCUCUCAAGUCUCACCUGGAGCUAUUGGAAGGGCAAAGCCAUUUGAAGAAUAAAGUCAUACAGUCUCAGAGGACA